rnacentral:rRNA from 1 species
UACGUAGGGCGCAAGCGUUAUCCGGAAUUAUUGGGCGUAAAGAGCUCGUAGGCGGUUUGUCGCGUCUGCCGUGAAAGUCCGGGGCUCAACUCCGGAUCUGCGGUGGGUACGGGCAGACUAGAGUGCGGUAGGGGAGACUGGAAUUCCUGGUGUAGCGGUGAAAUGCGCAGAUAUCAGGAGGAACACCGGUGGCGAAGGCGGGUCUCUGGGCAUUAACUGACGCUGAGGAGCGAAAGCAUGGGGAGCGAACAGG